CAGAACGGCUGGUCGGUCGCGUCUUCCGCCGUGGAAGAUGAGGAAAGUCCGGGCUCCAUAGGGCAGGGCGCUGGGUAACGCCCAGGCUCCAGGCGAGGAAUCGCCUGGGGACGGAGAGUGCAACAGAAAAUACACCGCCGAUGGUCCGCAAGGACACAGGCAAGGGUGAAAUGGUGCGGUAAGAGCGCACCGGCCUUUCGGUGACGAAAGGAUCUGGAAAACCCCGCCCGGAGCAAGACCUAACAGGGGAAUGGAGCGGCCCGCUCCCGGACCCCGGGUUGGUCGCUUGAGGCUGUAGGUAACUACAGUCCCAGAUAGAUGACCGAUACCCGCAAGGGCACAGAACCCGGCUUAUAGGCCGUUCUGCCUU
rnacentral:RNase_P_RNA from 1 species